UACAGAGGUCUCAAGCGUUGUUCGGAGUUACUGGGCGUAAAGGGUGUGUAGGCGGUUUUUUAAGUUUGGUGUGAAAUCUCCCGGCUCAACUGGGAGGGUGCGCCGAAUACUGAAAGACUAGAGUGCGGGAAAGGAAAGUGGAAUUCCUGGUGUAGCGGUGAAAUGCGUAGAUAUCAGGAGGAACACCGGUGGUGUAGACGGCUUUCUGGACCGUAACUGACGCUGAGACACGAAAGCGUGGGUAGCAAACAGG
rnacentral:rRNA from 1 species